GUGUCCUUGCUACACAGAACCACAAAAUCUAACAGGUGUCUCAGAAUUCCUCCUGAUGGGGCUCUCAGAUGAUCCAGAACAGCAGCCCCUCCUCUAUGGGCUAUUCCUGUCCAUGUACCUGGUCACGGUACUGGGGAACCUGGUCACGGUACUGGGGAACCUGCUCAUCAUCCUGGCCAUCAGCUCUGACUCCCACCUGCGCACCCCCAUGUACUUCUUCCUCUCCAACCUGUCCUUGGCUGACAUCAAUCUCAUCUCCACCACGGUCCCCAAGAUGAUUGUGGACAUCCAAACUCACAGCAGAGUCAUCUCCUAUGCGGGCUGCCUGACUCAGAUGUCUUUUUCAAUCCUUUUUGCAUGUAUGGAUGACAUGCUCCUGACUGAUGGCCUAUGACCGGUUUGUGGCCAUCAGUCACCCCCUGCAAUACCCAGUCAUCAUGAACCCACGACUCUGUGGCUUCUUAGUUUUGGUGUCUGUUUUUCUUAGCUUUUUAGUAUCCCAGGUGCACAAUUUGAUUGCCUUACAAUUUACUUGCUUCAAAGAUAUAAAGAUUUCUCAUUUCUUCUGUGACCCUUCUCAAAUCCUCACCAUUGCUUGUUCUGACACUUCUGUUAAUAACAUAGUUGUAUAUUUCUUUGCUGCCAUAUUUGGUUUUCUUCCCAUCUCAGGGAUCUUUUUCUCUUACUAUAAAAUUGUUUCCUCCAUUCUGAGAAUUCCAUCAUCAGGUGGGAGGUAUAAAGCCUUGUCCACCUGUAGCUCUCACCUGGCAGUUGUUUGCUUAUUUUAUGGAAUAAUCUUUGGAGUGCACCUCAGUUCAGCUGUGUCCUCUUCCCCCAGAAAGGGUGUGGUGGCCUCAGUGAUGUACACAGUGGUCACCCCCAUGCUGAACCCCUUCAUCUACAGCCUGAGAAACAGGGACAUUAAAAGUGCCCUGUGGAGGUUGCACAGCAGAAUAGUCAAAUAUCUUUGUUGGAUUCAUCCUUUCUGUUAUGUGGGCUAGAAAAGGCAGCAAAAU
rnacentral:sRNA from 1 species